rnacentral:rRNA from 1 species
CCCGCACAAGCGGUGGAGUAUGUGGUUAUUCGAUGCAACGCGAAGAACCUUACCUGGUCUUGACAUCCCGGAGACCCUUAGGAAACUAGGGGUGCUUCCAUCUGGAAGAAUCUGGAGACAGGUGCUGCAUGGCUGUCGUCAGCUCGUGUCGUGAGAUGUUGGGUUAAGUCCCGCAACGAGCGCAACCCUUGCCUUUAGUUGCCAGCAGUUCGGCUGGGCACUCUAAAGGGACCGCCGGUGUUAAACCGGAGGAAGGUGGGGAUGACGUCAAGUCCUCAUGGCCUUUAUGACCAGGGCUACACACGUACUACAAUGGCCGAUACAAAGGGCAGCGACACUGCGAGGUGAAGCCAAUCCCGUAAAAUCGGUCUCAGUCCGGAUUGGAGUCUGCAACUCGACUCCAUGAAGUUGGAAUCGCUAGUAAUCGUGGAUCAGCAUGCCACGGUGAAUACGUUCCCGGGCCUU